GAUGAAGAACGCAGCGAAAUGCGAUAAGUAAUGUGAAUUGCAGAAUUCAGUGAAUCAUCGAAUCUUUGAACGCACAUUGCGCCCGCCAGUAUUCUGGCGGGCAUGCCUGUUCGAGCGUCAUUUCAACCAUCAAGCCCCCGGCUUGUGUUGGGGACCUGCGGCUGCCGCAGGCCCUGAAAUGCAGUGGCGGGCUCGCUGUCACUCCGAGCGUAGUAGUUACAUCUCGCUCUGGGCGUGCUGCGGGUUCCGGCCGUUAAAAGCCUUAUUUACCCAAGGUUGACCUCGGAUCAGGUAGGAAGACCCGCUGAACUUAAGCAUAUCAUAAGCGGAGGA
rnacentral:misc_RNA from 1 species